CCAGACUCCUACGGGAGGCAGCAGUGGGGAAUAUUGCACAAUGGGGGGAACCCUGAUGCAGCAAUGCCGCGUGGGUGAAGAAGCUCUCCGGUGCGUAAAGCCCUGUCAGCAGGGAAGAAAAUGACAGUACCUGACCAAGAAGCCCCGGCUAACUACGUGCCAGCAGCCGCGGUAAUACGUAGGGGGCAAGCGUUAUCCGGAUUUACUGGGUGUAAAGGGAGCGCAGGCGGCGUGGCAAGUCAGAUGUGAAAACCCGGGGCCCAACCCCGGGAGUGCAUUUGAAACUGCCAUGCUGGAGUGCCGGAGAGGUAAGCGGAAUUCCUAGUGUAGCGGUGAAAUGCGUAGAUAUUAGGAGGAACACCAGUGGCGAAGGCGGCUUACUGGACUGUAACUGACGUUGAGGCUCGAAAGCGUGGGGAGCAAACAGGAUUAGAUACCCCUGUAC
rnacentral:rRNA from 1 species